rnacentral:lncRNA from 1 species
AGACCCUCAAACUGUGGGGUCAGAGCUCCUCAACCCCCCCAGACCCCCAAACUGUGGGGUUGGAGCCCCCCGCCCCCCAAUGGAGCCUCAAAUUGUGGGGUUGGAUCUCCUCCCCCCCACCCCCCACAGACCCUCAAACUGUGCCGGAGUGCCAGCUGUACUGCAGUGCCAACUGUGCCAGGACGCAGAGCCAGCUGUGCCAUAGCGCUGGCAGUGCCACAGUGCCAGCUGUGCCUCAGGGCCAGACUUCAGUGCCAGCUGUGCCGUGUUGCAGUGCCAGAUUUUCCAUGUUGCAGUGCCAGCCGUGCCAGAGAGCCGUGCCAAGAUGCAGUGCCAGCAGUGCCACAGUGUCUACUGUGCCAUGGGUGCCAGCUGUGCUGGGAUGCAGCACCAGCUGUGCCAUCUUUGCCAUGCUGCAGUGCCGGGAUGCUGUGCCAGUUGUGUGGGGCCGCAGUGGCAGCUGUGCCAGGAUGCAGUGCCAGCUGUGCUGUAGGUACCAGCUGUGCUGCUGUGCCAGCUGUGCCAUCCUGCCUGCUAUGCCUGUCUGCCAUGUCAGGAGUGCCAGAGAGCCACCUGUGCCAUAGUGCCAGCUCUGCCAGGCUGCAGUGCCAGCUGUGCCAUCCUGCCUGCUGUGCCAGAGUGUCAGCUGUGCUGGGCUGCCAGCUGUGCCACAGUGCCUGCUGUGCUGUGUUGGCUCCUGUGCCAUGCUACAAUGCCAGCUGUGCCAUACUGCCAUGCCACAGUGCCUGCUGUGCCGUGUUGCAGUGCCGGCUGUGCCACUCUGCUGUGCCAUGAUGCCAGCUGAGCCAGAAUGCCAGCUGUGCUGUGCCACAGUGCCAGCUGUGUGGGGCUGCAGUGCCAGUUCUGCUGUGCCACUGUGCCUGUUGUAUUUUAGUGCCAGCAGUGCCACAGUACCAACAGUGCCUGCAGUGCCAGCAGUGCCACAGUACCAACAGUGUCCUCAAUGCCAGCAGUGCCACAAUGCAGUGCCAGCAGUGCCACAGUAGCAACAGUGCCUGCAAUGCCAGCAGUGCCACAGUAGCAAGUGUCCUCAGUGCCAGCAGUGCCAUUUUGCAGUGCCAGCAGUGCCAUAGUAGCAGCAGUGUCCUCAGUGCCAGCAGUGCCAUAGUAGCAACAGUGUCCUCAGUGCCAGCAGUGCCAUUUUGCAGUGCCAGCAGUGCCACAGUAGCAGCAGUGUCCUCAGUGCCAGCAGUGCCACAGUACCAACAGUGCCUGCAAUGCCAGCAGUGCCACAGUAGCAACAGAGUCCUCAUUGCCAGCAGUGCCAUUUUGCAGUGCCAGCUGUGCCACAGUAGCAAUAGAGUCCUCAGUGCCAGCAGUGGCGUUUUGCAGUGCCAGCAGUGCCACCCCGCAGCGCCACAGCAGCGCCAUGGCAGCAGCCCUGCCCUCGUGUUG